AGCUGCAGGCAGCAGAUCCUGGAUCUACCCAAUCUUGUCAGAUUUUGGAAGCUAAACAGGACUAGCCCUGGUUGAUACUUAGAUUGGAGACCACCAAGGAAUUUCACAAAUUCUGCAGGUA
rnacentral:rRNA from 1 species